rnacentral:rRNA from 1 species
AGAGUUUGUAUCACUGGCUCAGGAUAAACGCUGGCGGCGUGCUUAACACAUGCAAGUCGAACGGAGUGGUUCUCCCGAGGAUUGAAGGUGCUUGCACCAGAUUGACUCAAUUGAAUCACUUAGUGGCGGACGGGUGAGUAACGCGUAUCCAACCUGCCCAUUACACUGGGAUAGCCCGCCGAAAGGCGAAUUAAUCCCGGAUAGUGUUCUUAGAUGGCAUCAGACAAGGACUAAAGGUUUUUCCGGUAAUGGAUGGGGAUGCGUCUGAUUAGAUAGUAGGCGGGGUAACGGCCCACCUAGCCAUCGAUCAGUAGGGGUUCUGAGAGGAAGGUCCCCCACAUUGGAACUGAGACACGGUCCAAACUCC